UACGAAGGUCCCGAGCGUUGUUCGGAAUCACUGGGCGUAAAGGGAGCGUAGGCGGUUAGGUAAGUCAGAUGUGAAAUCUCAGGGCUCAACCCUGAAACUGCAUCCGAUACUGCCUGACUAGAGUAAUGGAGGGGUAGCUGGAAUUCUCGGUGUAGCAGUGAAAUGCGUAGAUAUCGAGAGGAACACUCGUGGCGAAGGCGAGCUACUGGACAUUUACUGACGCUGAGGCUCGAAGGCUAGGGUAGCGAAAGGG
rnacentral:rRNA from 1 species